AGUAAGUGAAGAAGGAAGAGAAGCAGCGUUCAACUGUCUAAGACUCAAACAUGAAGGUCUGUUACACUUUGAUCAUCUUCAUCCUCACGAAACCACAGGAUGGAAACACUUGUAUGGCUGGAGGUACAGAAAUCUAUGUCAAUACAGCAACUGAAGGAGGAAACUUCACCCGCUCAAUGCUUUUUUGAUGACCCUGGUGAACAGAAGACCUUCUGCAGGGACGACUGUGGAUUUGAAGACAUUCUUGUGACAACAAGUGGUGUCAGAGCUCAGCGUGGCAGAUACAGCAUGGAAUAUAAUGAAGAAUUGGGAGCCUCUAUGAUAACUUUGUAUGUGAGCAUCACAAAGCUGUUGAAGUCCGACUCUGGAAGAUACAGUUGUGUGUUUGGCACUGGUCGUUAUCCACAUGAUAGCCAGAAGUUUGAUCUCAGAGUUGAAGAUGGUGAGUUUUUACCCUUUACUGACAGCUGCUGAAGGUUUAAAUGUUUCAAAGUCUAAUUAAUGCACCGUUAUAACCAGAUAAUUAUUGGUAGCCUCAAACACACUGAUAGUCUUCAGCCCAUAACUGGACCAGUAAGAACACACUCACCGUUCAGUGUUUUUUACCUUUUUACUGCUCCAACCACUGCCCAACCAAAAUGGACCUCCCCAGCUUUUUCACCAACUCCACCAGCCUCCACAUUGAAGACAACACUGACAUUGACAACCCCAGCUGCAGAUCAAGGUCUGAACCAGGAGGCAAACGCAAGAGUUCAGCUGUAUGUACGGCUGGUUCUGGUCAUCAUGAUCAUCGUUUCAUCAGCAGUUGGGCUGAUAGUCUGCAGGAGGAGCGCAAGGAGACCCGGAGAACCUGAUGAGGAACUGGAUUACAUUAACAUCACCAAUGCCAAUUUGGUGCAUGAAGGGGUCAGAGAGGAGAUUCUAGAAAUAUGAAGAAAACAUUUUAGAUGAAUUUAUAGGUCAGAUUUCUGAUUAAUGCACUGCCUUUGUAAGAACAAUAUACCAGGCUGUUCUGUGAAAGCUGUAUGUAGAUUACAUCUAGACGUUAGAGGUCACAUAUUCUCCUCCUCUUCAGCCAGUUUAAAUAAGUCUCAGAGCUCCCCAAAACAUGUUUGUGAAGUGUCUUGUUCUAAAUCCACUCUGAUCCUGUAUUUGAUCAUGCCUCUAAACCCCUCUAUUUCAGCCCUGCUCAGAACGGGCUGUUUCUGUGUCUGUAGCUUUAAAUAUGUAAAUGAGCUGUAUCUGACCACGCCCCCUCUCUGGAAGGACUUGGGUGUACUCGGGCUUUCUCACUCCUAUUGUUUACGGUGAGAAGGCAGACUCAGAGGGCAGAACAAACACCUAGCUGGGGGAGUGUCACCCACCUGGGGGAGGGGCUACUGCCCUUUGUGAUGUCAUGAAGGGAAAAUCUUCAAACGGCAUGUUUGAGCACACAUUUUCUGAAAAGUGGAGCAGGCAGUAGACGGAGAGGAUGGACUUUUCUCAUCAUUGGUAGACAGACUAGAGACACAUGUUAGUGUUAGAGAAACAUGGUGAAGUGUAUUUUAAAUAAUAUGUGAAUUUAAAGCCACAAUUUACAUUUAUACUUUUACAUCACUCUUUGGUUCUGUUAUAUUGUGUUUAAAUGUGUUGCUUUUGAAAACUGUGAACUAUUUUCUAGCUUACAUGAAUCAUCAGCGUUUAUUCAAAGUACUUUUAAAAUUGCUUUCUAGUGGCGUUAAAAAUUGUACAACAUAAAACACAUUUUA